AGAGUUUGAUCAUGGCUCAGAUUGAACGCUGGCGGCAGGCCUAACACAUGCAAGUCGAGCGGUAGCACAGAGAGCUUGCUCUCGGGUGACGAGCGGCGGACGGGUGAGUAAUGUCUGGGAAACUGCCUGAUGGAGGGGGAUAACUACUGGAAACGGUAGCUAAUACCGCAUAAUGUCGCAAGACCAAAGUGGGGGACCUUCGGGCCUCAUGCCAUCAGAUGUGCCCAGAUGGGAUUAGCUAGUAGGUGGGGUAACGGCUCACCUAGGCGACGAUCCCUAGCUGGUCUGAGAGGAUGACCAGCCACACUGGAACUGAGACACGGUCCAGACUCCUACGGGAGGCAGCAGUGGGGAAUAUUGCACAAUGGGCGCAAGCCUGAUGCAGCCAUGCCGCGUGUGUGAAGAAGGCCUUCGGGUUGUAAAGCACUUUCAGCGGGGAGGAAGGCGAUAAGGUUAAUAACCUCAUCGAUUGACGUUACCCGCAGAAGAAGCACCGGCUAACUCCGUGCCAGCAGCCGCGGUAAUACGGAGGGUGCAAGCGUUAAUCGGAAUUACUGGGCGUAAAGCGCACGCAGGCGGUCUGUCAAGUCGGAUGUGAAAUCCCCGGGCUCAACCUGGGAACUGCAUUCGAAACUGGCAGGCUAGAGUCUUGUAGAGGGGGGUAGAAUUCCAGGUGUAGCGGUGAAAUGCGUAGAGAUCUGGAGGAAUACCGGUGGCGAAGGCGGCCCCCUGGACAAAGACUGACGCUCAGGUGCGAAAGCGUGGGGAGCAAACAGGAUUAGAUACCCUGGUAGUCCACGCCGUAAACGAUGUCGAUUUGGAGGUUGUGCCCUUGAGGCGUGGCUUCCGGAGCUAACGCGUUAAAUCGACCGCCUGGGGAGUACGGCCGCAAGGUUAAAACUCAAAUGAAUUGACGGGGGCCCGCACAAGCGGUGGAGCAUGUGGUUUAAUUCGAUGCAACGCGAAGAACCUUACCUGGUCUUGACAUCCACAGAACUUUCCAGAGAUGGAUUGGUGCCUUCGGGAACUGUGAGACAGGUGCUGCAUGGCUGUCGUCAGCUCGUGUUGUGAAAUGUUGGGUUAAGUCCCGCAACGAGCGCAACCCUUAUCCUUUGUUGCCAGCGGUCCGGCCGGGAACUCAAAGGAGACUGCCAGUGAUAAACUGGAGGAAGGUGGGGAUGACGUCAAGUCAUCAUGGCCCUUACGACCAGGGCUACACACGUGCUACAAUGGCAUAUACAAAGAGAAGCGACCUCGCGAGAGCAAGCGGACCUCAUAAAGUAUGUCGUAGUCCGGAUUGGAGUCUGCAACUCGACUCCAUGAAGUCGGAAUCGCUAGUAAUCGUAGAUCAGAAUGCUACGGUGAAUACGUUCCCGGGCCUUGUACACACCGCCCGU
rnacentral:rRNA from 1 species